GCCCCCGUAGCUCAGGGGAUAGAGCACCGGCCUCCGGAGCCGGGUGCGCAGGUUCGAAUCCUGCCGGGGGCACCA
rnacentral:tRNA from 1 species